rnacentral:rRNA from 1 species
UAAGGAAUAUUGCGCAAUGGGCGACAGCCUGACGCAGCGACGCCGCGUGGGGGAUGAAGGUCUUCGGAUUGUAAACCCCUUUCGGCAGGGAAGAUGGAACGGGUAACCGUUCGGACGGUACCUGCAGAAGCAGCCACGGCUAACUUCGUGCCAGCAGCCGCGGUAAUACGAAGGUGACAAGCGUUGUUCGGAUUUACUGGGCGUACAGGGAGCGUAGGCGGUUGGGUAAGCCCUCCGUGAAAUCUCCGGGCCUAACCCGGAAAGUGCGGAGGGGACUGCUCGGCUAGAGGAUGGGAGAGGAGCGCGGAAUUCCCGGUGUAGCGGUGAAAUGCGUAGAGAUCGGGAGGAAGGCCGGUGGCGAAGGCGGCGCUCUGGAACAUUUCUGACGCUGAGGCUCGAAAGCGUGGGGAGCAAACAGGAUUAGAUACCCCCGUAGUCCCUGAGCGGGCUGGCAAGGCGCAU